UGGGGAAUUUUGGACAAUGGGCGAAAGCCUGAUCCAGCAAUGCCGCGUGUGUGAAGAAGGCCUUCGGGUUGUAAAGCACUUUUGUCCGGAAAGAAAUCCUUGGCUCUAAUACAGUCGGGGGAUGACGGUACCGGAAGAAUAAGCACCGGCUAACUACGUGCCAGCAGCCGCGGUAAUACGUAGGGUGCAAGCGUUAAUCGGAAUUACUGGGCGUAAAGCGUGCGCGAGGCUGGUUUGACUAAGACCCGAUGUGAAAUCCCCGGGCUCCCAAGCCUGGGCAACUGGCAUUGGUGAUCUGGGCAGGCUAGAGUAUGGCAGAGGGGGGUAGAAUUCCACGUGUAGCAGUGAAAUGCGUAGAGAUGUGGAGGAAUACCGAUGGCGAAGGCAGCCCCCUGGGCCAAUACUGACGCUCAUGCACGAAAGCGUGGGGAGCAAACAGGAUUAGAUACCCUGGUAGUCCACGCCCUAAACGAUGUCAACUAGUUGUUGGGGAUUCAUUUCCUUAGUAACGUAGCUAACGCGUGAAGUUGACCGCCUGGGGAGUACGGUCGCAAGAUUAAAACUUAAAUGGAAUUGACGGGGUCAUAGCUGUUUCCU
rnacentral:rRNA from 1 species